rnacentral:lncRNA from 1 species
UUUCACCAAUAAAAUUAUGGAAGAGAUUCCAACUGGAUUUGAAAUCCAAAUUAACUCAACCUGUGGCAGAAUGACUUCAUGAACAAGUCCCUGGAAUAUUUGAGACUUUCAAGCCGGCACAUCUGCAAAGACUGGGCAAUCAAGAACCAUGAGUAACAAUAGUGAAGCUGGACCCAGAGAAGGCAAGGCAAACGCUUUCUUAUCGUGGAGAAACAGUACUCCUCAAACUGUCAGACCGCAUCAGGGGAGUUGAACAAGAAUUAUAAAGCCAGGCUAAAUCAAGGCAUCAGCUGAGAAGGUAAAAUUCAUCUGCAGGUGAGCUUUCUUUUAGCCACUUCUUUCACCAGAGCC